rnacentral:lncRNA from 1 species
CUUUGCUGUUGGUGGGGGCAGGGAGCAUGGUACAGGGGUGACUGAGUUCCUGCUUUGUUAGUUCCCACUGAAACUGAUUGACAAAAAGGGCCUGGCACCUCUCUCUUCUCUCUCUUUCUCUCUCUCACCAUGUGAUCUAUGCAUGCCUGUUCCCGUCUGCUUGCACUAAGAAUGGAAACAGCCUAAGUUCCUCACCAGAAGCAGAGGCUGGCACCAUGUUUGUUAUGCAGCCUGCAGAACCGAUUAAUAAUUCAAUUCCAGCUUUCCUGGAAGCCAGAAGUCAAAAUAUACUUGGGAUUUCUAUAAAUAUUUUUUAAUUAUGACCAUCGAACUCCAAGUACUUCAGAUUUGGAACUCGGACUGCUUUCCUUGCUCCUCAGCCUGCAGAUGGCCUAUUGUGGGACCUUGUGAUUAUGUAGUGAGACGAGCAUGAGUGGAGCAGGAGACGGCUGUCCCCCACCCACAAGGAAUAUCAGAUGAUGGUUCAGCGAUCAUCACAUUGCCUCUCUGAAAGUGAUAAAUUGGCAGCUGGCACCAGGGAGAGGCUAUUUCCUGAUGGCCCACACCUGUUGCACUAAGAUGUUAAUCGAAUGCAGAUUCCAGGGAGAAACAACUUCCUGGGCAUGUGCGUAAGAGACAAAAUGGCAGGUAUGACCUUCUGGGGACACUCCACCAGAAAAGGGAAGAAAACCUCAGAUGGGCAUGCAUAUAACUUCCUAAACACACUGCUCACACUCUCCUCCCAAGGGUAAGGAGGGCACUGCACAUGCAGGCAGCCCAUCCUAAGGGAAGCAUCCUGGGAAAGGGGUCAGUCUAUAUGGUUCUGGGAUCAAGAUUAAACACCACAUUAGACCUUCAAGUUGCCCACUUGGGUCUCUUCUAUGUGUAUUUUUCUUUCCUUUCUUUUCUGCUCUAAAGCUUUUUUAAAUAAACAUACACAUCCCUCCUCUGAAACUUGCCUUGGUCUCUUUUUCUGCCAUAUGCAACUCAGUCAAAUUAUUUCUUCUGAGGAGGAAAAAAUUGAGGUAGCUGCAUUCCCAUACAGAUUCACCAUCGGUAACUCAGAUACCUUCUACUGGCCAUAUGUUUGGUGUUCUAUUCAAGAAAUAAUUGCUAAAGCCAAUGUCUUAAAGUGUUUUUCUUAUGUUUUUCUUCUAAGAGUUUUACAGUUUCAGGUCUUACACUUAAGUAUUUAAUUAAUUUGAGUUGAUUUUAUGCAUGGUGUAGGAUGUGUGUAAUAUUCAGUUUUUCUAACACUAUUUGUUGAAGAGACUAUUCUUUUUCCACUGUGUAUCCUUAGAAGCAUUGCUGAAGUGUUGUUG